rnacentral:lncRNA from 1 species
CAGCAACAACAAACCCACAGUGAGUGAUCUCUCCCCAGCGCGAAUCCAGCGAAUCCGCCAUCAAGAUCAGGGAAGAGGAGGAGGAGGAAGAAGAGGAAGAGGAGGAGGAAGAGGAGGAGGAGGAGAAGGAGGAGAAGAAGGAGGUGGUGAAAGAAGAGGAGGUGGAGGAAGAGGAGGAGGAGGAGGAGGGAAAGAGAAGGAAGAAGAAAAAGAAGAAAUCCACUGUCUUCCCAGGAUUGUUUUCCCCCUUAUCUUUAAGCGCGAGUGUGCGCGUGGUGCGUGUGCGUCCCUCAUCCCUGCCAUCUGAACCCCGUCUUGGAUGUUUAAUAAAGAAAUCAAGUGUCUCACCAGUCACCAAAAAAAACAGCAAAAAGCAAAACCAAAAAAAGAAAAAAAAAAUCCAAAAGCAAAACAAAAAGAGAGGGGGAAAAAGACCAAACAAACAAACAAGGCAGAACCAACCUCCACUUGCAAGCAGCCGGCGCCAGCCGCAUAUCUGCCACCCAGAGAGGGGGUCUCCGGCCCCGCGCUGGAGCUCUGGCAGGGGGAUCGUCAGGGGGACAGAGGCCGAGUGACGUCCUAGGAGCCACAGAAAGACGAGUGAGACUGCGGCCCCCGCGCGCGGCUCAGGGCUGGGGCGCCAGAAGUGAGACUGGAGCUAAGUAGAGCGAUGCCAAGGAGGAAACAGCAGGCACCCAAGCGGGCGGCAGG